GCUUUGAUCCAGAGAUUUCCGAAUGGGGAAACCCAGCAUGAGUUAUGUCAUGUUAUCGAUAUGUGAAUACAUAGCAUAUCAGAAGGCACACCCGGAGAACUGAAACAUCUUAGUACCCGGAGGAAGAGAAAGAAAAUUCGAUUCCCUUAGUAGCGGCGAGCGAAACGGGAAGAGCCCAAACCAACAAGCUUGCUUGUUGGGGUUGUAGGACACUCUAUACGGAGUUACAAAGGACGACAUUAGACGAAUCAUCUGGAAAGAUGAAUCAAAGAAGGUAAUAAUCCUGUAGUCGAAAAUGUUGUCUCUCUUGAGUGGAUCCUGAGUACGACGGAGCACGUGAAAUUCCGUCGGAAUCUGGGAGGACCAUCUCCUAAGGCUAAAUACUCUCUAGUGACCGAUAGUGAACCAGUACCGUGAGGGAAAGGUGAAAAGCACCCCGGAAGGGGAGUGAAAUAGAACCUGAAACCGUGUGCUUACAAGUAGUCAGAGCCCGUUAAUGGGUGAUGGCGUGCCUUUUGUAGAAUGAACCGGCGAGUUACGAUUUGAUGCAAGGUUAAGCAGUAAAUGUGGAGCCGUAGCGAAAGCGAGUCUGAAUAGGGCGUUUAGUAUUUGGUCGUAGACCCGAAACCAGGUGAUCUACCCUUGGUCAGGUUGAAGUUCAGGUAACACUGAAUGGAGGACCGAACCGACUUACGUUGAAAAGUGAGCGGAUGAACUGAGGGUAGCGGAGAAAUUCCAAUCGAACCUGGAGAUAGCUGGUUCUCUCCGAAAUAGCUUUAGGGCUAGCCUCAAGUGAUGAUUAUUGGAGGUAGAGCACUGUUUGGACGAGGGGCCCCUCUCGGGUUACCGAAUUCAGACAAACUCCGAAUGCCAAUUAAUUUAACUUGGGAGUCAGAACAUGGGUGAUAAGGUCCGUGUUCGAAAGGGAAACAGCCCAGACCACCAGCUAAGGUCCCAAAAUAUAUGUUAAGUGGAAAAGGAUGUGGCGUUGCCCAGACAACUAGGAUGUUGGCUUAGAAGCAGCCAUCAUUUAAAGAGUGCGUAAUAGCUCACUAGUCGAGUGACACUGCGCCGAAAAUGUACCGGGGCUAAACAUAUUACCGAAGCUGUGGAUUGUCCUUUGGACAAUGGUAGGAGAGCGUUCUAAGGGCGUUGAAGCAUGAUCGUAAGGACAUGUGGAGCGCUUAGAAGUGAGAAUGCCGGUGUGAGUAGCGAAAGACGGGUGAGAAUCCCGUCCACCGAUUGACUAAGGUUUCCAGAGGAAGGCUCGUCCGCUCUGGGUUAGUCGGGUCCUAAGCUGAGGCCGACAGGCGUAGGCGAUGGAUAACAGGUUGAUAUUCCUGUACCACCUAUAAUCGUUUUAAUCGAUGGGGGGACGCAGUAGGAUAGGCGAAGCGUGCGAUUGGAUUGCACGUCUAAGCAGUAAGGCUGAGUAUUAGGCAAAUCCGGUACUCGUUAAGGCUGAGCUGUGAUGGGGAGAAGACAUUGUGUCUUCGAGUCGUUGAUUUCACACUGCCGAGAAAAGCCUCUAGAUAGAAAAUAGGUGCCCGUACCGCAAACCGACACAGGUAGUCAAGAUGAGAAUUCUAAGGUGAGCGAGCGAACUCUCGUUAAGGAACUCGGCAAAAUGACCCCGUAACUUCGGGAGAAGGGGUGCUCUUUAGGGUUAACGCCCAGAAGAGCCGCAGUGAAUAGGCCCAAGCGACUGUUUAUCAAAAACACAGGUCUCUGCUAAACCGUAAGGUGAUGUAUAGGGGCUGACGCCUGCCCGGUGCUGGAAGGUUAAGAGGAGUGGUUAGCUUCUGCGAAGCUACGAAUCGAAGCCCCAGUAAACGGCGGCCGUAACUAUAACGGUCCUAAGGUAGCGAAAUUCCUUGUCGGGUAAGUUCCGACCCGCACGAAAGGCGUAACGAUUUGGGCACUGUCUCAACGAGAGACUCGGUGAAAUCAUAGUACCUGUGAAGAUGCAGGUUACCCGCGACAGGACGGAAAGACCCCGUGGAGCUUUACUGUAGCCUGAUAUUGAAAUUCGGCACAGCUUGUACAGGAUAGGUAGGAGCCUUUGAAACGUGAGCGCUAGCUUACGUGGAGGCGCUGGUGGGAUACUACCCUAGCUGUGUUGGCUUUCUAACCCGCACCACUUAUCGUGGUGGGAGACAGUGUCAGGCGGGCAGUUUGACUGGGGCGGUCGCCUCCUAAAAGGUAACGGAGGCGCUCAAAGGUUCCCUCAGAAUGGUUGGAAAUCAUUCAUAGAGUGUAAAGGCAUAAGGGAGCUUGACUGCGAGACCUACAAGUCGAGCAGGGUCGAAAGACGGACUUAGUGAUCCGGUGGUUCCGCAUGGAAGGGCCAUCGCUCAACGGAUAAAAGCUACCCCGGGGAUAACAGGCUUAUCUCCCCCAAGAGUUCACAUCGACGGGGAGGUUUGGCACCUCGAUGUCGGCUCAUCGCAUCCUGGGGCUGUAGUCGGUCCCAAGGGUUGGGCUGUUCGCCCAUUAAAGCGGUACGCGAGCUGGGUUCAGAACGUCGUGAGACAGUUCGGUCCCUAUCCGUCGUGGGCGUAGGAAAUUUGAGAGGAGCUGUCCUUAGUACGAGAGGACCGGGAUGGACAUACCUCUGGUGUACCAGUUGUCGUGCCAACGGCAUAGCUGGGUAGCUAUGUGUGGACGGGAUAAGUGCUGAAAGCAUCUAAGCAUGAAGCCCCCCUCAAGAUGAGAUUUCCCAACUUCGGUUAU
rnacentral:rRNA from 1 species